rnacentral:rRNA from 1 species
GACGAACGCUGGCGGCGUGCUUAACACAUGCAAGUCGAACGGAAAGGCCCUGCUUUUGUGUGGUGCUCGAGUGGCGAACGGGUGAGUAACACGUGAGUAACCUGGCCUUGACUUUGGGAUAACUUCAGGAAACUGGGGCUAAUACCGGAUAGGAGCUCCUGCUGCAUGGUGGGGGUUGGAAAGUUUCGGCGGUUGGGGCUGGACUCGCGGCUUAUCAGCUUGUUGGUUGGGUAGUGGCUUACCAAGCCUUUGACGGGUAGCCUGCCUGAGAGGGUGACCGGCCACAUUGGGACUGCGAUACGGCCCAGACUCCUACGGGAGGCAGCAGUGGGGAAUAUUGCACAAUCGGCGGAAGCCUGAUGAAGCAACGCCGCGUGCGGGAUGACGGCCUUCGGGUUGUAAACCGCUUUAGCCUGUGACGAAGCGUGAGUGACGGUAAUGGGUAAAGAAGCACCGGCUAACUACGUG